AUGUCUAAGAAACCAGGAGGGCCCGGAAAAAACCGGGCUGUCAAUAUG
rfam:West Nile virus isolate 101_5-06-Tu, complete genome